AUUCUCUACUUCCACUUUCUCUCUCUAAAAAACUUUCCGAGCGAUGUCGAGGCGGCCCGGCAAGGAAGUGGCGGCACAGGCGGCGGGUGGACAGCGGUUUCCCGGCGAGAAGGCAGAGCUGUUAUUGAUGAACUGCAACAGGCAGAGCUGUUAUUGAUGAACUGGAACGGGCCCUUGAGCAGUGGCAGUGGGCGUCACAGAGAGAUUAUUGAUAUGUCGGCAGUGCAUUUAUAAAACAUUUUCCUAGUUGUUUGUAAAAGUUAACAUUAUCUGUUCUUAUAAUUAUUAUUUUAAGUUCUUAGAAUUUGACAUUA